UGGGGAAUUUUGGACAAUGGGGGCAAGCCUGAUCCAGCCAUACCGCGUGCGGGAAGAAGGCCUUCGGGUUGUAAAGAUCUUUUGUCCGGAGAGAAAAGGCUCUCUCUAAUACAGGGGGUUCAUGACGGUACCCGAAGAAUAAGCACCGGCUAAAUACGUGCCAGCAGCCGCGGUAAUAUGUAGGGUGCGAGCGUUAAUCUGAAUUAUUGGGGGUAAAGCGUGCGCAGGCGGUUUUGUAAGACAGGCGUGAAAUCUCCGGGCUCAACCUGGGAAUUGCGCUUGUGACUGCAAGGCUAGAGUACGGCAGAGGGGGGUGGAAUUCCGCGUGUAGCAGCGAAAUGCGUAGAGAUGCGGAGGAACACCGAUGGC
rnacentral:rRNA from 1 species